rnacentral:rRNA from 1 species
GACGAACGCUGGCGGCGUGCUUAACACAUGCAAGUCGAACGGAAAGGCCCUGCUUUUGUGGGGUGCUCGAGUGGCGAACGGGUGAGUAACACGUGAGUAACCUGCCCUUGACUUUGGGAUGACUUCAGGAAACUGGGGCUAAUACCGGAUAGGAGCUCCUGCUGCAUGGUGGGGGUUGGAAAGUUUCGGCGGUUGGGGAUGGACUCGCGGCUUAUCAGCUUGUUGGUGGGGUAGUGGCUUACCAAGGCUUUGACGGGUAGCCGGCCUGAGAGGGUGAACGGCCACAUUGGGACUGAGAUACGGCCCAGACUCCUACGGGAGGCAGCAGUGGGGAAUAUUGCACAAUGGGCGGAAGCCUGAUGCAGCAACGCCGCGUGCGGGAUGACGGCCUUCGGGUUGUAAACCGCUUUCGCCUGUGACGAAGCGUGAGUGACGGUAAUGGGUAAAGAAGCACCGGCUAACUACGUG